rnacentral:rRNA from 1 species
GGAGGAAAAGAAACCAACAGGGAUUGCCCUAGUAACGGCGAGUGAAGCGGCAACAGCUCAAAUUUGAAAUCUGGCUCUUUUAGAGUCCGAGUUGUAAUUUGCAGAGGGCGCUUUGGCUUUGGCAGCGGUCCAAGUUCCUUGGAACAGGACGUCACAGAGGGUGAGAAUCCCGUACGUGGUCGCUGGCUAUUGCCGUGUAAAGCCCCUUCGACGAGUCGAGUUGUUUGGGAAUGCAGCUCUAAAUGGGAGGUACAUUUCUUCUAAAGCUAAAUAUUGGCCAGAGACCGAUAGCGCACAAGUAGAGUGAUCGAAAGAUGAAAAGCACUUUGGAAAGAGAGUCAAACAGCACGUGAAAUUGUUGAAAGGGAAGCGCUUGCAGCCAGACUUGCUUACAGUUGCUCAUCCGGGUUUUUACCCGGUGCACUCUUCUGUAGGCAGGCCAGCAUCAGUUUGGGCGGUAGGAUAAAGGUCUCUGUCACGUACCUCCUUUCGGGGAGGCCUUAUAGGGGAGACGACAUACUACCAGCCUGGACUGAGGUCCGCGCAUCUGCUAGGAUGCUGGCGUAAUGGCUGUAAGCGGCCCGUCUUGA